GACAGAGGGUGCAAACGUUGUUCGGAAUUACUGGGCGUAAAGGGCGCGUAGGCGGCUUGGCAAGUGGAAGGUGAAAUCCCUCGGCUUAACCGAGGAACUGCCCUCCAAACUGCUUCGCUUGAGACCGGGAGAGGUGAGUGGAAUUCCCAGUGUAGCGGUGAAAUGCGUAGAUAUUGGGAGGAACACCAGUGGCGAAGGCGGCUCACUGGACCGGUACUGACGCUGAGACGCGAAAGCGUGGGGAGCAAACAGG
rnacentral:rRNA from 1 species